UACGAAUGGGGCUAGCGUUGCUCGGAAUCACUGGGCGUAAAGCGCACGUAGGCGGCUUUUUAAGUCAGGGGUGAAAUCCUGGAGCUCAACUCCAGAACUGCCUUUGAUACUGAGAAGCUUGAGUCCGGGAGAGGUGAGUGGAACUGCGAGUGUAGAGGUGAAAUUCGUAGAUAUUCGCAAGAACACCAGUGGCGAAGGCGGCUCACUGGCCCGGUACUGACGCUGAGGUGCGAAAGCGUGGGGAGCAAACAGG
rnacentral:rRNA from 1 species